rnacentral:rRNA from 1 species
AGUGAACGCUGGCGGUAGGCCUAACACAUGCAAGUCGAACGGCAGCACAGUAAGAGCUUGCUCUUACGGGUGGCGAGUGGCGGACGGGUGAGGAAUACAUCGGAAUCUACUUUUUCGUGGGGGAUAACGUAGGGAAACUUACGCUAAUACCGCAUACGACCUACGGGUGAAAGCAGGGGAUCUUCGUACCUUGCGCGAUUGAAUGAGCCGAUGUCGGAUUAGCUAGUUGGCGGGGUAAAGGCCCACCAAGGCGACGAUCCGUAGCUGGUCUGAGAGGAUGAUCAGCCACACUGGAACUGAGACACGGUCCAGACUCCUACGGGAGGCAGCAGUGGGGAAUAUUGGACAAUGGGCGCAAGCCUGCUCCAGCCAUACCGCGUGGGUGAAGAAGGCCUUCGGGUUGUAAAGCCCUUUUGUUGGGAAAGAAAAGCAGCAGGUUAAUACCCCGCUGUUCUGACGGUACCCAAAGAAUAAGCACCGGCUAACUUCGUG